rnacentral:rRNA from 1 species
GAUGAACGCUGGCGGCGUGCCUAAUACAUGCAAGUCGAGCGAAGCGGGGACGGGUGAGUAACACGUCUAUAACCCCCUAUAAGACUGGGAUAACUUCGGGAAACCGGUGCUAAACCCGCUACUUAUAGCUGGAUCCGCGCUGCAUUAGCUAGGUUGUAAGGUAACGGCUUACCAAGUCAACGAUGCAUAGCCGACCUGAGAGGGUGAUCGGCCACACUGGAACUGAGACACGGUCCAGACUCCUACGGGAGGCAGCAGUAGGGAAUCUUCCGCAAUGGGCGCAAGCCUGACAGAGCAACGCCGCGUGAGUGAUGAAGGUCUUCGGAUCGUAAAGCUCUGUUAGUAGGGAAGCGGUACCUAAUCAGAAAGCCACGGCUAACUACGUGCCAGCAGCCGCGGUAAUAC